CCGAGGACUUUCUGCGAACGUGAAGCUGCUGCGGGUUCUCUGAAGAAACUCGCAGCAGCUUU
rnacentral:sRNA from 1 species